CAUUAUCAACAUUCAUCAUCUCAAUUCUUCUUCACUGUCUCUCGACUCUCUGUUUCAAGAGACUCACAAACUCUCACCCUCGUUUCUUUCCCUCAUCACCGACGAUACACACACAAAAUGAAUAUACUAAAUUAUCUCCACUAUUUCUUCUUGCUUUAAGUACUGAAGAAAACAAUCAACAUUUUCUUUCAAACUCUUGUCACAAAAUCAAAUUCCAUUCUCACUCUCUUUAACGUGUCUCUGUGGCAGCACCUACAAAUUUCUCCAUCAAAUUUCUAUUCCAUAUUACUUUCUCCUACCACUAGUGCAAGAGCCUUGUCUAUUUAAUUAAAUCAAGAAGAAUCAGAUCUGAUCUUUUUCACAAUUGAAGAAGAGGGGCCGUGAGCAAGGAGGAAGUUGAGAUUCCGGCACCGUUUCGUCGUUUCUUGACCGAUUGUCGCACUGUCAGUUGCCACGCGUAGGAAUCGAGGUUUGUUUGGAGGAUUGCUAGGCGUAGAAGGAGAAGAGUGUGAAGGAACUUUGCUGGAACACGUUGGAAGAGUUAGAGUUGUGGGCAACUUACUUUGCUAGCUAAUGACUUAGGCGUCGAUAACUUCGACUUGAUUUAUUGUUUAUGCUUUUGUAUGAUUAUGUGAUAUGGCAAAUGUUUUCUAAGGCUUAUGCCGUUGUUAAUCAAUAGAGACGUGUGUCUCCGAUUUCUGGGGCUUCGGCCGACAUAUAUGUUACUACUUGAUUAUAACUGUUGAUUGAUUCA